rnacentral:rRNA from 1 species
AUGGCGUCAGAUUAUCAAGUGGUUAUCAAGGACAUUGAUCAGGGAACUAGUGCCCCGUAUGGUGCAAUCAUCCAGGAGGUUAUAGCACGGAAAUUGUCUAUGACUAGUUGUCAUCUCAUGUAUGAAAGUAGAAACUGCAACUUUGAGGCACAUCACCUUGCAAAGCACGCUUCGUCUUUAGAUGUCGGUCGUCACAUUUGGCUAGGUAUGCCUUAUGAUCCAGUUAAUAUCUCUGUAAACAUUAUUUCUUUAGAUGUCGGUCGUCACAUUUGGCUAGGUAUGCCUUAUGAUCCAGUUAAUAUCUCUGUAAACAUUAUUUCAGAGAUUUAA